rnacentral:rRNA from 1 species
CCUACGGGAGGCAGCAGUGAGGAAUAUUGGUCAAUGGCAGUAAUGCUGAACCAGCCAUGUCGCGUGCAGGAAGACGGCCCUAUGAGUUGUAAACCGCUUUUAUACGGGGAUAAAAUGGUCCACGUGUAGAUUUUUGCAGGUACCGCAUGAAUAAGGACCGGCUAAUUCCGUGCCAGCAGCCGCGGUAAUACGGAAGGUCCGGGCGUUAUCCGGAUUGAUUGGGUUUAAAGGGAGCGUAGGCUGGUCUAUAAGCGUGCCGUGAAAUUUCGUGGCUCAACCUCGAGAGUGCGGCGGGAACUGUAGAACUUGAGUGCGCAGACGGCAGGCGGAAUGCGUGGUGUAGCGGUGAAAUGCUUAGAUAUCACGCAGAACCCCGAUUGCGAAGGCAGCUUGCCGCAGCGUGACUGACGCUGAUGCUCGAAAGCGCGGGUAUCGAACAGGAUUAGAUACCCUUGUAGUC